rnacentral:miRNA from 1 species
UUAGGGCAUCCAAGCAUUGAAA